rnacentral:rRNA from 1 species
GACGAACGCUGGCGGCGUGCCUAAUACAUGCAAGUCGAGCGGACUUUCAAGAAGCUUGCUUUUUGAAAGUUAGCGGCGGACGGGUGAGUAACACGUGGGCAACCUGCCUGCAAGACGGGGAUAACUCCGGGAAACCGGGGCUAAUACCGAAUAAUAUCUUCCUUCGCAUGAAGGAAGGUUGAAAGGCGGCGCAAGCUGCCGCUUGCAGAUGGGCCCGCGGCGCAUUAGCUAGUUGGUGAGGUAACGGCUCACCAAGGCGACGAUGCGUAGCCGACCUGAGAGGGUGAUCGGCCACACUGGGACUGAGACACGGCCCAGACUCCUACGGGAGGCAGCAGUAGGGAAUCUUCCGCAAUGGACGAAAGUCUGACGGAGCAACGCCGCGUGAGCGAAGAAGGUCUUCGGAUCGUAAAGCUCUGUUGUCAGGGAAGAACAAGUACCGUUCGAACAGGGCGGUACCUUGACGGUACCUGACCAGAAAGCCACGGCUAACUACGUG